rnacentral:lncRNA from 1 species
AUUUGCUGCGGCGUGGAGCUGGUAUUCUAAGAGGAGGUGAAACUCAGGAGGAUGACAGAAAACAUGCGAGGGAGGCUGGUGUGGCUGAUUGUGCCUUAUCGUAAUGGCCUUUCCUCCUGCAGAGCCAAGAUAAGGCAUGCCUGCUGUUUAGAGACCACUCACUGCAGCUGUAAUGUUACACAACAUCUAGUGUUUCUUAAAUUUAAAAAACUCACUUCAAGAAUAAUGGGAGACAAUGAAACAUAGCUCUGCUGGUUGAAAGUAAUUCUGGAUCAUGAGUCCUUUUGUAAGUAUUGAACUGAGCACUCAAUAGGCUUUCCAUUUGUAUACUGCUUUAAUAUAUAUAUACAUGUUUUUUCCAAUACCACUUGCAGUUGCCUUGUUUUCUUAGGUGGCUCUUCUGAGG